UACGUGGGGGGCAAGCGUUGUCCGGAUUUAUUGGGCGUAAAGAGCGUGUAGGCGGUUAGGUAGGUCCGUUGUGAAAACUCGAGGCUCAACCUCGAGACGCCGGUGGAAACCAUCAGGCUAGAGUCCGGAAGAGGAGAGUGGAAUUCCUGGUGUAGCGGUGAAAUGCGCAGAUAUCAGGAAGAACACCCGUGGCUAAGGCGGCUCUCUAGUACGGUACUGACGCUGAGACGCGAAAGCGUGGGGAGCAAACAGG
rnacentral:rRNA from 1 species